UGUGAACCUGUUGGGUGGUUACAGGUGUUUUCUUUGUUGUCUCUCAAUUGCUGGGGAGGUGACACUAGUGCUGGAUACCUCCUCCCUGUGGUGUGGGUGGGAUGAUAGGAGACAGCUGCUAGAAAAGGCAGGAAGGAGAACCCUGCCUACUGUGGCAGGGGCAGGAGUGCUUGGGCUGCAAUUAAUCAGAGGAGAUUUGGGCUGGAGUAAAUAUUCAUCUUCAGAAGUUGCUGUAGAAAGCUUACAGCCUGGAAAUAGUCAGAUUCUUCUGUUGUAAAAGGCAGGAUCUCCUGCAGCUCCAGAUGCUCCUUAUGACUGGGGCUCCAGAUUUGGGCAGAUCUGCAUGCUUACAAUCACAUCACAUUGUCUUGUGCUUUUUGGCAACUUGCUUGCAGCCUUUUCUCUUGUUCUUCUGCUCUUCUGUAUUUUUUUUUUUUAAUAUAUAUAUAUAUUUCCUCCUUUAGUGAUUAAAAAUGGACACGCUUUGCCAAGGCUUAUUAAAACAAUCCUGCUUGCUGUCAGGAGGCUUGUGUUAGAGUUGUGGAAGGAUGGCUUUUUCUUUUUUUUCCUAGCAUAAAAUGGGUCUGAGGAAUGGGGCAAGGAUUAAAUAAACGAAAAGGAUGACAGGUGGUCUAAAUCCUGCCCUGAGUUCUCUUCUUCAAAGCUUUUGGAGUUGCUCCCCCACACCCAUGUCACAGUGGAUGCCCAUAUAGGGGUGGUUUGGAAAGAAAGUCCUGGUGAAAGGAUAGUUUUAAAAUGGAAAAAGGUGCCGCUCAUUGCCUGCUCAGGACUUCAAGCAGAAAUACCUUCAAGCCUGCUGUUAGAUGUUACAGGAGUCCUGCAGUAUCCCCAUGAAGCAGAGCACGACUGGGCCCAAGCUCUCCAAGCUCUGAAGCAGAGCAACAGUAUCCAGGCCAGCUCUGUAAAGAGCUGGUGCAGGCACCAGGAAAGCUCAUUAACUCCAGCUCUGUGCAAUUUGAAAUGGGCUAGACUGCUCCAGGACCAGGAGGAACAGCGUGUGUGCAGUGCUGAACCGCUGCAGAGCUGGUCUGAUAGCCUCUGCUUUGUGCCAGACUCCAGCCACAGCCUGGAUGAAGCAUCAGAGUAUAACUGGGAGCUGACCAGAGGACAGUGCCAGGUUAAACAGACAUCUGCAGGCAAUUCUUAAACCUUCCUUUUAGAAAUAUUGUAUUUUUCUUUUUCUUUUUCAGUUUCAAAAUGGGAUGCUAUUUAAAAAAAAAAAAACAAAACAAAAAAAAAAAAAACACAAAAAACCACCAAAAAACUACAAAAGAAAAAAAAAAAAACAACAAAAAAAAAAACCCCACAACACACACACACAAAAAUCUAAGGCCUUCUGCCCAGAUUGGCAUAGAACACAGUUCUUACUAAAUUGAAGACUGAUGUGGUCUGAUUUAAUCUCUUAGUAAUUUCCCUUUCCCAGGUACUAAAAACUGUGGCUCAGCACGGCUUUUUUGAUUUUCCUGUCCUUGGGUUUACUUUUCAUAUUUUGCAUUCAUGUGUUUUUCUUCCCUGAUUCUUAAUGUGCUUAGCCCGUUCAGAUGAAUAUAAGAUCUCAAUAGUAGCAUCUGAGAUCGUAAUCUGUCUGUAUCAAAGGCCAGAAUUAUUCCCUGUUGUUUGUAAAGGAAUUAUUUAAUAAGUAAUCCUUGUAAGUGUCAACAUUACACAUGAGAUGACAUAACACUUGGGGAAAGUAAGGACUAAGCCAAUAUUCCCACACCAGCUUCAAAGCUAAACAUGCUUUCACAUACAGAUGCUUCCUAUUUCUCAUCUGCAGCUUCUAUUUCCCCCUAAUUGGAGUUGACACUGGAAGGACCAGUUCUCCUUUUUCUCCUCCUGGAUGUUUUGAUUGGAAUGUUAAUACCGUCUUCCUUCAUUACCCGGCAGUGCAGGGCAUUCUUCAAGGUAUAGCAUUGGCUUUCCUGUAGAAGCUGCACUCGCCCCAGUGCCAGAAGGGUGUUAAUGCAUAACUGGCUCCUAGUGGUGCAGCAGUCACAUGCACAUGAAGACCGGCCUUUUGGGAGCAAUUGAACUCUGGAUUGAGACUUUUCAUUUCAGGCCUGUUCUGCCCAAAAGUAAACUUCCUGCUGAAUGAGUGGGGCUGUUCUGCAAGUAAAAUAGUGAAAUCUUGGAAGCUGAAUGCAUGC
ensembl:lncRNA